CCUACGGGAGGCAGCAGUAGGGAAUCUUCCACAAUGGACGAAAGUCUGAUGGAGCAACGCCGCGUGAGUGAAGACUGGUUUCGGCUCUUAAAGCUCUUUUGGUAGAGAAGAAAGGUAGAGGUAGUAACUGGCCUUUUUUUUACGGUAUUUACUUAGAAAGUCACGGCUACCUACGUGCCAGCAGCCGCUGUAAUACGUAGGUGGCAAGCGUUGUCCGGAUUUAUUGGGCGGAAAGGGAGUGCAGGCGGUUCGAUAAGUCUGAUGUGAAAGCCCUCGGCUCAACCGGAGAAUUGCAUCAGAAACUGUUGUACUUGAGUGCAGAAGAGGAGAGUGGAACUCCAUGUGUAGCGGUGGAAUGCGUAGAUAUAUGGAAGAACACCAGUGGCGAAGGCGGCUCACUGGUCUGCAACGGACGCUGAGGCUCGAAAGCAUGGGUAGCGAACAGGAUUAGAUACCCUAGUAGUC
rnacentral:rRNA from 1 species